rnacentral:SRP_RNA from 1 species
GGUCGGGUCCUGCGCGAUUGCGGGCCUGUGAACCGAGUCAGGGUCGGAAGGCAGCAGCUCUCAGCGGGCACCGCGAUGUGCCUCAGGUUGCCUGGCCGUC